rnacentral:rRNA from 1 species
UGCCAGCACCGCGGUAAUACGGAGGGUGCAAGCGUUAAUCGGAAUUACUGGGCGUAAAGCGUGCGUAGGCGGUUUAUUAAGUCAGGUGUGAAAGCCCCGGGCUUAACCUGGGAACUGCAUUUGAAACUGGUAAACUAGAGUAUGGUAGAGGAAAGUGGAAUUUCUGGUGUAGCGGUGAAAUGCGUAGAUAUCAGAAGGAACAUCAAUGGCGAAGGCAGCUUUCUGGAUCAUUACUGACACUGAGGAACGAAAGCAUGGGUAGCGAAGAGGAUUAGAUA